UUAUGUGAUCGUCUCUCGCAUAUCAAUAAGCGGAGGAAAAGAAACUAACAAGGAUUCCCCUAGUAACGGCGAGUGAAGCGGGAAGAGCUCAAAUUUGAAAUCUUAAAGGGUUUCCCUUUACGAAUUGUAGUUUAAAGAAGUGUUUUCUGUUGAGGUUUUGGUAAAAGUUCUUUGGAAUAGGACAUCAUAGAGGGUGAGAAUCCCGUAUUUGACCUUUACUUUCAACUUUGUGAUACACUUUCAAAGAGUCGGAUUGUUUGGGAAUGCAGUCCAAAAUGGGUGGUAAAUUUCAUCUAAAGCUAAAUAUUGGCGAGAGAUCCGAUAGCGAACAAGUACCGUGAGGGAAAGAUGAAAAGAACUUUGAAAAGAGAGUUAAACAGUACGUGAAAUUGUCAAAAGGGAAGCGUUUGACACCAGUGUUGUUUUUCUGAAAAUCAAUUAAAGAACUGUUUAUGCUAAGUUGUUUAGACUUUAUCAGCUAUACUGUUUAGUUUUGAGCUUUUCUUUAAUGCACUUUUCAGUUAACAAGUCAACAUCAAUUUCUUUUGCUGUAAAAAAGCUUGAGGAAGGUGGCUUGAGAUUCGUCUUAAGUGUUUAUAGCCUCUUGCCUAUGCAGUCGGAGAGAUUGAGGUCUGCAGCGUAGAUCCUUCGGGGCUAAAUGCAUUUGUGCUAAGUUAUAGCAUUUUAUAGACAACUUGUUGACUAUGAUUUGUCUUGUAGCUUACUCGCUUAUGUUAUUUUACCUACGCUUAGGAUGUUGAUCUACAGAGCGAGAGU
rnacentral:rRNA from 1 species